GCUGCGGCAGCGACACUAUGUGUUGUUGGGUAGGGGAGCGUUCUGUAAGCCUGUGAAGGUGGCCUGUGAGGGUUGCUGGAGGUAUCAGAAGUGCGAAUGCUGACAUAAGUAACGAUAAAGCGGGUGAAAAGCCCGCUCGCCGGAAGACCAAGGGUUCCUGUCCAACGUUAAUCGGGGCAGGGUGAGUCGACCCCUAAGGCGAGGCCGAAAGGCGUAGUCGAUGGGAAACAGGUUAAUAUUCCUGUACUUGGUGUUACUGCGAAGGGGGGACGGAGAAGGCUAUGUUGGCCGGGCGACGGUUGUCCCGGUUUAAGCGUGUAGGCUGGUUUUCCAGGCAAAUCCGGAAAACCAAGGCUGAGGCGUGAUGACGAGGCACUACGGUGCUGAAGCGACAAAUGCCCUGCUUCCAGGAAAAGCCUCUAAGCAUCAGGUAACAUCAAAUCGUACCCCAAACCGACACAGGUGGUCAGGUAGAGAAUACCAAGGCGCUUGAGAGAACUCGGGUGAAGGAACUAGGCAAAAUGGUGCCGUAACUUCGGGAGAAGGCACGCUGAUAUGUAGGUGAAGCGACUUGCUCGUGGAGCUGAAAUCAGUCGAAGAUACCAGCUGGCUGCAACUGUUUAUUAAAAACACAGCACUGUGCAAACACGAAAGUGGACGUAUACGGUGUGACGCCUGCCCGGUGCCGGAAGGUU
rnacentral:rRNA from 1 species